rnacentral:tRNA from 1 species
UCCCUGGUGGUCUAGUGGUUAAAACUCAGUGCUUUUAUGUCUGCAGCCUGGGUUCAAUCCCUGAUCUGGGAA